UACGGAAGGCAGCAGUGGGGAAUAUUGCACAAUGGGCGCAAGCCUGAUGCAGCCAUGCCGCGUGUAUGAAGAAGGCCUUCGGGUUGUAAAGUACUUUCAGUCGUGAGGAAGGUGUUAAGGUUAAUAACCUUAGCAAUUGACGUUAGCGACAGAAGAAGCACCGGCUAACUCCGUGCCAGCAGCCGCGGUAAUACGGAGGGUGCGAGCGUUAAUCGGAAUUACUGGGCGUAAAGGGCACGCAGGCGGUUAAUUAAGUUGGAUGUGAAAUCCCCGGGCUUAACCUGGGAAUGGCAUUCAAGACUGGUUAGCUAGAGUCUUGUAGAGGGGGUAGAAUUCCAUGUGUAGCGGUGAAAUGCGUAGAGAUGUGGAGGAAUACCGGUGGCGAAGGCGGCCCCUGGACAAAGACUGACGCCAUGUGCGAAGCGUGGGGAGCGAAACAGGGAUUAGAGUA
rnacentral:rRNA from 1 species